CUCCAAUGAUGAUUCCGCCAUGCUAAUACCGAUGCACCGGGCUGACAGUGUGUCUACCUGUGUGUAAGUGAUGUAAUGGGAGUCAGGUGGCUGAGCGGU